CCUACGGGUGGCAGCAGUGGGGAAUCUUCCACAAUGGGCGAAAGCCUGAUGGAGCAACGCCGCGUGGGUGAAGAAGGUCUUCGGAUCGUAAAACCCUGUUGUUAGAGAAGAAAGUGCGUGAGAGUAACUGUUCACGUUUCGACGGUAUCUAACCAGAAAGCCACGGCUAAAUACGUGCCAGCAGCCGCGGUAAUACGGAGGUGGCAAGCGUUAUCCGGAUUUAUUGGGCGUAAAGGGAACGCAGGCGGUCUUUUAAGUCUGAUGUGAAAGCCGUCGGCUUAACCGGAGUACUGCAUUUGAUACUGGGAGACUUGAGUGCAGAAGAGGAGAGUGGAAUUCCAGGUGUAGCAGUGAAAUGCGUAGAUAUAUGGAAGAACACCAGUGGCGAAAGCGGCUCUCUGGACUGUAACUGACGCUGAGGUUCGAAAGCGAGGGGAGCAAAAAGGAUUAGAUACCCUAGUAGUC
rnacentral:rRNA from 1 species